rnacentral:snoRNA from 1 species
AGGUCUUCUCAAACAGGAAUUUUGCAGCGUAAACAAAGAGCUCUCAUUGCUGUAACCAAAAUGUUGAAGUUUUCCAUAGAAUACAAUAAUGGCUAAAAUGCUUAUAUUUUCCUAAUAAGAGACAAGA